rnacentral:rRNA from 1 species
UACAGAGGGUGCGAGCGUUAAUCGGAAUUAUUGGGCGUAAAGGGUGCGUAGGCGGAUUUACAAGUGAUAUGUGAAAUACCUGGGCUUAACCUGGGAAUGGCCGUUGAAACUGGCGAACUGGAGUGUGGCAGAGGGGGGUGGAAUUCCGCGUGUAGCAGUGAAAUGCGUAGAGAUCCGGAGGAACACCGACGGCGCAGGCAGCGUCCUGGCCGCUUGCUGACACUGAGGCACGAAAGCUGGGGGAGCAAACAGG